GACAGAGGGUGCAAGCGUUGUUCGGAAUCACUGGGCGUAAAGGGCGUGUAGGCGGUGAAGUGUGUCUGACGUGAAAUCCCUCGGCUUAACCGGGGAACUGCUUCCGAGACUGUACGACUAGAGAUCGGUAGAGGGCGGUGGAAUUUCCGGUGUAGCGGUGAAAUGCGCAGAUAUCAGGAAGAACACCCGUGGCGAAGGCGGCUCUCUGGGACGGUACUGACGCUGAGACGCAAAAGCGUGGGGAGCGAACAGG
rnacentral:rRNA from 1 species